UACGUAGGGGGCUAGCGUUGUCCGGAAUCAUUGGGCGUAAAGCGCGUGUAGGCGGUCCGGUAAGUCCGCUGUGAAAGUCGGGGGCUCAACCCUCGGAUGCCGGUGGAUACUGUCGGGCUUGAGUACGGAAGAGGCGAGUGGAAUUCCUGGUGUAGCGGUGAAAUGCGCAGAUAUCGAGAGGAACACCAGUGGCGAAGGCGAGUCCCUGGACACUUCCUGACACUGAGGCACGAAAGCUAGGGGAGCAAACAGG
rnacentral:rRNA from 1 species